UACAGGGGGUGCAGACGUUGCUCGGAAUCAUUGGGCGUAAAGCGCACGUAGGCGGUUCGUUAUGUCGGAUGUGAAAGCCCUUGGCUUAACCGAGGAAGUGCAUCCGAAACUGGCGAGCUAGAGUACGAAAGAGGAUCGCGGAAUUCCCGGUGUAGAGGUGAAAUUCGUAGAUAUCGGGAGGAACACCGGUGGCGAAGGCGGCGAUCUGGGUCGAUACUGACGCUGAGGUGCGAAAGCGUGGGGAGCAAACAGG
rnacentral:rRNA from 1 species